GUGUGAUUCGUCACACUAUCAUUAACUGAAUCCAUAGGUUAAUGAGGCGAACCGGGGGAACUGAAACAUCUAAGUACCCCGAGGAAAAGAAAUCAACCGAGAUUCCCCCAGUAGCGGCGAGCGAACGGGGAGGAGCCCAGAGCCUGAAUCAGCAUGUGUGUUAGUGGAAGCGUCUGGAAAGGCGCGCGAUACAGGGUGACAGCCCCGUACACAAAAGCGCAUGUGCUGUGAGCUCGAUGAGUAGGGCGGGACACGUGGUAUCCUGUCUGAAUAUGGGGGGACCAUCCUCCAAGGCUAAAUACUCCUGACUGACCGAUAGUGAACCAGUACCGUGAGGGAAAGGCGAAAAGAACCCCGGCGAGGGGAGUGAAAAAGAACCUGAAACCGU
rnacentral:rRNA from 1 species